ACUAAAUAGAUACCCCGGUAGUCCACGCCGUAAACGAUGAUUACUCGCUGUUGGCGAUACACUGUCAGCGGCUAAAGCAAAAAAAGCAAUAAGUAAUCCACCUGGGGAGUACGGCCGCAAGGUUGAAACUCAAAGGAAUUGACGGGGGCCCGCACAAGCGGAGGAACAUGUGGUUUAAUUCGAUGAUACGCGAGGAACCUUACCUGGGCUUAAAUGUAGAGUGCAUUUUCUAGAGAUAGGAAUUCCCUUCGGGGCUUUCUGCAAGGUGCUGCAUGGUUGUCGUCAGCUCGUGCCGUGAGGUGUCGGGUUAAGUCCCAUAACGAGCGCAACCCUUAUCGUUAGUUGCCAUCUGGUAAAGC
rnacentral:rRNA from 1 species